rnacentral:rRNA from 1 species
UACGUAGGGUGCGAGCGUUAAUCGGAAUUACUGGGCGUAAAGCGUGCGCAGGCGGUUUUGUAAGUCUGUCGUGAAAUCCCCGGGCUCAACCUGGGAAUUGCGAUGGAGACUGCAAGGCUAGAAUCUGGCAGAGGGGGGUAGAAUUCCGACGUGUGAGCAGUGAAAUGCGUAGAGAUGUGGAGGAACACCGAUGGCGAAGGCAGCCCCCUGGGUCAAGAUUGACGCUCAU